UACGUAGGGUGCAGGCGUUAAUCGGAAUUACUGGGCGUAAAGCGUGCGCAGGCGGUUUGCUAAGCGAGAUGUGAAAUCCCCGGGCUUAACCUGGGAACUGCGUUUCUAACUGGCAGGCCUGAGUGUGGCAGAGGGGGGUGGAAUUCCACGUGUAGCAGUGAAAUGCGUAGAGAUGUGGAGGAACACCGAUGGCGAAGGCAGCCCCCUGGGCUAACACUGACGCUCAUGCACGAAAGCGUGGGGAGCAAACAGG
rnacentral:rRNA from 1 species